GGACGCAAGUCUGAUCCAGCCAUGCCGCGUGAAGGAUUAAGGCCCUCUGGGUUGUAAACUUCUUUUAUAGGGGACGAAAAAAGGGCUUUCUAGCUCGACUGACGGUACCCUAUGAAUAAGCACCGGCUAACUCCGUGCCAGCAGCCGCGGUAAUACGGAGGGUGCAAGCGUUAUCCGGAUUCACUGGGUUUAAAGGGUGCGUAGGCGGGCAGUUAAGUCAGUGGUGAAAUCUUCGAGCUCAACUCGGAAACUGCCAUUGAUACUAUCUGUCUUGAAUAUUGUGGAGGUGAGCGGAAUAUGUCAUGUAGCGGUGAAAUGCUUAGAUAUGACAUAGAACACCAAUUGCGUAGGCAGCUCGCUACACAAAUAUUGACGCUGAGGCACGAAAGCGUGGGGAUCAAACAGGAUUAGAUACCCUGGUAGUCCACGCCCUAAACUAUGAUUACUCGACAUAUGCGAUACACUGUAUGUGUCU
rnacentral:rRNA from 1 species